UACGUAGGGUGCGAGCGUUGUCCGGAAUUAUUGGGCGUAAAGAGCUUGUAGGUGGUUUGUCGCGUCUGCUGUGAAAAUCCGAGGCUCAACCUCGGACUUGCAGUGGGUACGGGCAGACUAGAGGUGUGGUAGGGGAGACUGGAAUUCCGUGGUGUAGCGGUGGAAUGCGCAGAUAUCAGGAGGAACACCGAGUGGCGAAAGGCAGGUCUCUGGGC
rnacentral:rRNA from 1 species